CAGCAGCCGCGGUAAUACGUAGGGUGCGAGCGUUAAUCGGAAUUACUGGGCGUAAAGCGAGCGCAGACGGUUACUUAAGCAGGAUGUGAAAUCCCCGGGCUCAACCUGGGAACUGCGUUCUGAACUGGGUGACUAGAGUGUGUCAGAGGGAGGUAGAAUUCCACGUGUAGCAGUGAAAUGCGUAGAGAUGUGGAGGAAUACCGAUGGCGAAGGCAGCCUCCUGGGAUAACACUGACGUUCAUGCUCGAAAGCGUGGGUAGCAAACAGGAUUAGAUACCCCCGUAGUCCCUGUCUCUUAUAC
rnacentral:rRNA from 1 species